UAGCAUGGCGGGUGCUAUAAUGCAGUCGAACGCUUCUUUUUCCACCGGAGCUUGCUCCACCGGAAAAAGAGGAGUGGCGAACGGGUGAGUAACACGUGGGUAACCUGCCCAUCAGAAGGGGAUAACACUUGGAAACAGGUGCUAAUACCGUAUAACAAUCGAAACCGCAUGGUUUUGAUUUGAAAGGCGCUUUCGGGUGUCGCUGAUGGAUGGACCCGCGGUGCAUUAGCUAGUUGGUGAGGUAACGGCUCACCAAGGCGACGAUGCAUAGCCGACCUGAGAGGGUGAUCGGCCACAUUGGGACUGAGACACGGCCCAAACUCCUACGGGAGGCAGCAGUAGGGAAUCUUCGGCAAUGGACGAAAGUCUGACCGAGCAACGCCGCGUGAGUGAAGAAGGUUUUCGGAUCGUAAAACUCUGUUGUUAGAGAAGAACAAGGAUGAGAGUAACUGUUCAUCCCUUGACGGUAUCUAACCAGAAAGCCACGGCUAACUACGUGCCAGCAGCCGCGGUAAUACGUAGGUGGCAAGCGUUGUCCGGAUUUAUUGGGCGUAAAGCGAGCGCAGGCGGUUUCUUAAGUCUGAUGUGAAAGCCCCCGGCUCAACCGGGGAGGGUCAUUGGAAACUGGGAGACUUGAGUGCAGAAGAGGAGAGUGGAAUUCCAUGUGUAGCGGUGAAAUGCGUAGAUAUAUGGAGGAACACCAGUGGCGAAGGCGGCUCUCUGGUCUGUAACUGACGCUGAGGCUCGAAAGCGUGGGGAGCAAACAGGAUUAGAUACCCUGGUAGUCCACGCCGUAAACGAUGAGUGCUAAGUGUUGGAGGGUUUCCGCCCUUCAGUGCUGCAGCUAACGCAUUAAGCACUCCGCCUGGGGAGUACGACCGCAAGGUUGAAACUCAAAGGAAUUGACGGGGGCCCGCACAAGCGGUGGAGCAUGUGGUUUAAUUCGAAGCAACGCGAAGAACCUUACCAGGUCUUGACAUCCUUUGACCACUCUAGAGAUAGAGCUUCCCCUUCGGGGGCAAAGUGACAGUGUGCAUGAUGUCGUCAGCUCGUGUCGUGAGAUGUGGGUAGUCCCGCACGAGCGCACCUAUGUAGUGCAUCAUUAGUGGGCACUCUAGCAAGACUGCGUGACAACGAGAAGUGGAUGACGUCAAUCAUCAUGCCC
rnacentral:rRNA from 1 species